rnacentral:misc_RNA from 1 species
GUGAAUCAUCGAAUUUUUGAACGCAAAUUGCACUCUCUGGUAUUCAGGAGAGUAUGACUGUUUGAGGGUAAGUUUAAAUAAAAAUAGGUGUGGUUGCCGUUUUUCGUGGUGACGAACUGGAUGUGGGUCGUCUUGUUUUCGGUUAAGUGAUUUAAAAUAUUGCAUGAUUAUUUAGAACGUAUUUAAAUGAUAUUAUGUAGGCUUGAGAUAUAGAAUAAUAGGUGUGGCGAUCGUCAUGAUCGGCGCCUAUAAUUUUUCAUCAAAUCGAGCUCAUUUCAGGUAAGU